GAUGAACGCUGGCGGCGGGCCUAACACAUGCAAGUCGAGCGAACAGAUGAGGAUUUUGCUCCUCUGACGUUAGCGGCGGACGGGUGAGUAACACGUGGAUAACCUACCUAUAGGACUGGGAUACCUUCGCGAAACCUGAGCUAAUAGCGGAUGAUAUAUUGAACCUCAUGGUUCAAUAGUCAAAGACGGUUUUGCUGUCACUAAUAGAUGGAUCCGCGCCGGAUUAGUUAGUUGGUAAGGUAACGGCUUACCAAGGCUACGAUGCGUAGCCGACCUGAGAGGGUGAUCGGCCACACUGGAACUGAGACACGGUCCAGACUCCUACGGGAGGCAGCAGUCGGGAAUCUUCCGCAAUGGGCGAAAGCCUGACCGAGCAAAGCCGCGUGAGUGAUGACGGUCUUCGGAUCGUAAAACUCUGUAAGUAGGGAGGAACAAAAGUGUAAGUAACUAUGCACGUCUUGACGGUACCUAAAGAAAAAGCCACGGCUAACUACGUG
rnacentral:rRNA from 1 species